rnacentral:rRNA from 1 species
UACGUAGGGGGCAAGCGUUUAUCCGGAUUUACUGGGUUUAAAGGGUGCGUAGGUGGGUAAGUAAGUCAGUGGUGAAAUCUUCGAGCUUAACUCGGAAACUGCCAUUGAUACUAUUUAUCUUGAAUACUUUGGAGGUAAGCGGAAUAUGUCAUGUAGCGGUGAAAUGCUUAGAUAUGACAUAGAACACCAAUUGCGAAGGCAGCUUACUACACAGUUAUUGACACUGAGGCACGAAAGCGUGGGGAUCAAACAGG